UCUCCGUUGGUGAACCAGCGGAGGGAUCAUUACAGGACUCGCAAGACUCCUACAACCCUGUGAACUUAACUAUAAGCACGUUGCUCGGCGGGUGUCUCGGAGGGGGUUCUCCCUCCCCGAGACGCUAAACCCGCCGGCAGCCUACUAUACUCUGUCUCUUUGCGUUGGCAUCUCGAGUACAAUCAAACAAGUUAAAACUUUCAACAACGGAUCUCUUGGUUCUG
rnacentral:misc_RNA from 1 species